GAGACACCCUUCUGGGGCAAGACUUGCUGCAGUGGGGCUUUGGUGCUCACUGAGUCUGCCCCCUGAGUGUGUCCCU
rnacentral:pre_miRNA from 1 species